rnacentral:rRNA from 1 species
AGAGUUUGAUCCUGGCUCAGGACGAACGCUGGCGGCGUGCUUAACACAUGCAAGUCGAACGGUGAAGCCCAGCUUGCUGGGUGGAUCAGUGGCGAACGGGUGAGUAACACGUGAGUAACCUGCCCCUGACUCUGGGAUAAGCCUUGGAAACGAGGUCUAAUACCGGAUAUGUGACGUUCAGGCAUCUGAUGCGUCUGGAAAGAUUUAUCGGUCAGGGAUGGACUCGCGGCCUAUCAGCUUGUUGGUGGGGUAACGGCCUACCAAGGCGACGACGGGUAGCCGGCCUGAGAGGGCGACCGGCCACACUGGGACUGAGACACGGCCCAGACUCCUACGGGAGGCAGCAGUGGGGAAUAUUGCACAAUGGGCGCAAGCCUGAUGCAGCGACGCCGCGUGAGGGAUGAAGGCCUUCGGGUUGUAAACCUCUUUCAGCAGGGAAGAAGCGCAAGUGACGGUACCUGCAGAAGAAGCGCCGGCUAACUACGUGCCAGCAGCCGCGGUAAU